UAGAGCCUGUUCCUCAUUCUCUAUUUCUGCAGCUAUAAAAUUGGGCCAAUGACCUUAGCCCUCCUAUUGUCUCAGGAAAGCCCUGGGUGAGGAUGCCACUAAGCCUGCCUGGAGCCAGGAGCUGGUCUGCAGAAACUGCUGGGCCUCUUUCUACUCUGAUGUUUACUUGGCCUGGAGGCCCAGUGUGAUGAAACCCGGCCCUGUUGCCGAGCACCUUGGGAGGCCUCCCUCCAGGGUCCCUGUGUGCUCAGACAGUGGCCCUUUGUGGAGUGGAGGAGCAGACUGAAAGCGGAGCUUCUGGAAACCCUUUCCUCCCCCCUGCCUCGAGCAACCUCCUCCGGCAGCCACGGACCAUCCUGUGCCUGGGUGGCCUCUGCUUUAAGUCUGCGGCUGGCGGGGGAGGAGCCUGUGCACAAUCAUGGAGGGCACUGGCAAGUCUGGUGGAGAGGGAAGGAAGUCAGGAAGGAAAAUUAAGAGAGUGGGUACCAGGCAGGUUUCUGGAUGAGGCCCAGAGGAGCAUUUUUAUCCAUCCAUUCAUUCAACAAGGGACUAUGUCUUAUCCAACUUGUAUCCCUAGAGCAUAACACAACGUCUGCACGUAAGAGAGAAAGUAAGUGCUUGUGAAAAUUGAGCAUUUUGGCCGGUUGUGAUGGCUCACAUGUGUUAUCCCAGCACUUUGUGAGGCCGAG